rnacentral:lncRNA from 1 species
GAUCAACCCUGAGGAUUGGGAAGGAAUUAUACAUACCAGGAGGCAAGGAGCACUGGGGGCCCUCCUGGGACUGCCUAUCACAGCGUCCUUAAAGCAGUAUGAUGGUACUUCCAGUACCCCAGUGACAUCUAGCCUGAGAAAGAAGCAGAGAUAAAGUCUAUAGAGGAAGAGAGCAUCUGAAUGACGUUUGAGUCCCUGGAUCCACUGUGUGAAGCCAGAGCCACUCCUGCAAGUGUUUUGUUUAGGUUUAAAUUUGAUUGAGAUUUUUAUUACUUCAAAGUAAAAAAUUCUUACUAAUGCAAUGCCUUCAGCCUUCAACCUCAAAGUCACUGAAAG